rnacentral:rRNA from 1 species
CCCUUAGAUGUCCUGGGCCGCACGCGCGUUACACUGAUGCACUCAACGAGCAUAUAACCUUGGCCGAGAGGCCUGGGUAAUCUUGUUAACAUGCAUCGUGAUAGGGAUAGAUUAUUGCAAUUAUUAAUCUUGAACGAGGAAUUCCUAGUAAUCGCAGAUCAUCAAUCUGCAAUGAUUACGUCCCUGCCCUUUGUACACACCGCCCGUCGCACCUACCGAUUGAAUGGUCCGGUGAGGACUCGGGAUUGUGGUUUGGCUCCUUCAUUGGGGCCUGACUGUGAGAACUUGUCCAAACCUUAUCAUUUAGAGGAAGGUGAANUCGUANCA